rnacentral:misc_RNA from 1 species
UCGAGCGUCAUUAUAACCCUCAAGCACUGCUUGGUAUUGGACGUAAUCCACUAUUGGUGCGUCUCAAAGCCAUCAGCGGUAGCACUCGGCUUCUAGCGCAGUAAAUUUCUCGCUACGGAUCUGUAGUUGUGCGCCUGCUGGAAUCUUUAAACAUAUCAAAGGUUGACCUCGGAUCAGGUAGGGAUACCCGCUGAACUUAA